rnacentral:rRNA from 1 species
GAGCAUGGCGCAGACUACCAUGCAGUCGAGCGGAACGAGUUAUCUGAACCUUCGGGGAACGAUAACGGCGUCGAGCGGCGGACGGGUGAGUAAUGCCUAGGAAAUUGCCCUGAUGUGGGGGAUAACCAUUGGAAACGAUGGCUAAUACCGCAUGAUGCCUACGGGCCAAAGAGGGGGACCUUCGGGCCUCUCGCGUCAGGAUAUGCCUAGGUGGGAUUAGCUAGUUGGUGAGGUAAGGGCUCACCAAGGCGACGAUCCCUAGCUGGUCUGAGAGGAUGAUCAGCCACACUGGAACUGAGACACGGUCCAGACUCCUACGGGAGGCAGCAGUGGGGAAUAUUGCACAAUGGGCGCAAGCCUGAUGCAGCCAUGCCGCGUGUGUGAAGAAGGCCUUCGGGUUGUAAAGCACUUUCAGUCGUGAGGAAGGUGGUGUAGUUAAUAGCUGCAUUAUUUGACGUUAGCGACAGAAGAAGCACCGGCUAACUCCGUGCCAGCAGCCGCGGUAAUACGGAGGGUGCGAGCGUUAAUCGGAAUUACUGGGCGUAAAGCGCAUGCAGGUGGUUUGUUAAGUCAGAUGUGAAAGCCCGGGGCUCAACCUCGGAAUAGCAUUUGAAACUGGCAGACUAGAGUACUGUAGAGGGGGGUAGAAUUUCAGGUGUAGCGGUGAAAUGCGUAGAGAUCUGAAGGAAUACCGGUGGCGAAGGCGGCCCCCUGGACAGAUACUGACACUCAGAUGCGAAAGCGUGGGGAGCAAACAGGAUUAGAUACCCUGGUAGUCCACGCCGUAAACGAUGUCUACUUGGAGGUUGUGGCCUUGAGCCGUGGCUUUCGGAGCUAACGCGUUAAGUAGACCGCCUGGGGAGUACGGUCGCAAGAUUAAAACUCAAAUGAAUUGACGGGGGCCCGCACAAGCGGUGGAGCAUGUGGUUUAAUUCGAUGCAACGCGAAGAACCUUACCUACUCUUGACAUCCAGAGAACUUUCCAGAGAUGGAUUGGUGCCUUCGGGAACUCUGAGACAGGUGCUGCAUGGCUGUCGUCAGCUCGUGUGUGAAAUGUUGGGGUAAGUCCCGCACGAGCGCAACCCUAUCUGUUUGCAGCGAGUAUGUCGGGACUCAGGAGACUGCGGUGAUAACGAGAGGUGGGGACGACGUCAGUCAUCAUGACUACGAGUAGGCUAACACUGCUACAUUGGGCCAUACGAGGGCGGUCACUUGCCGAGUGAGGAAUUCCAAAAAGUGC